rnacentral:tRNA from 1 species
GUAACAGAAGCCAAAAUAGAGGCACUUGUCUGUUAAUCAAGUUAAUGUAUUUUAUACCUGUUACU